rnacentral:rRNA from 1 species
CCUACGGGCGGCAGCAGUGAGGAAUAUUGGUCAAUGGACGAAAGUCUGAACCAGCCAUGCCGCGUGCAGGAUGACGGCUCUAUGAGUUGUAAACUGCUUUUGUAUUAGGGUAAACACCCCUACGUGUAGGGGCGUGAAAGUAUCAUACGAAUAAGGAUCGGCUAACUCCGUGCCAGCAGCCGCGGUAAUACGGAGGAUCCAAGCGUUAUCCGGAGUUAGUGGGUUUAAAGGGUGCGUAGGCUGUGAGGUAAGUCAGCGGUGAAAGGCCCCCGCUCAACGGGGUGAAGUGCCAUUGAUACUGCCUUGCUGGAAGGCGGAUGCCGUGGGAGGAAUGUGUGGUGUAGCGGUGAAAUGCAUAGAUAUCACACAGAACACCGAUUGCGAAGGCAUCUCAAGAAUCCGCGAUUGACGCUGAUGCACGAAAGCGUGGGUAUCAAACAGGAUUAGAUACCCCGUGUAGUC